rnacentral:misc_RNA from 1 species
GAUGAAGAACGUAGCGAAAUGCGAUAAGUAAUGUGAAUUGCAGAAUUCAGUGAAUCAUCGAAUCUUUGAACGCACAUUGCGCCCGUCAGUAUUCUGGCGGGCAUGCCUGUUCGAGCGUCAUUACGCCCCUCAAGUCCCCUGUGGACUUGGUGUUGGGGAUCGGCGAGGCUGGUUUUCCAGCACAGCCGUCCCUUAAAUUAAUUGGCGGUAUCGCCGUGGCCCUCCUCUGCGCAGUAGUAAAACACUCGCAACAGGAGCCCGGCGCGGUCCACUGCCGUAAAACCCCCCAACUUUUUAUAGUUGACCUCGAAUCAGGUAGGACUACCCGCUGAACUUAAGCAUAUCAAUAAGCGGAGGA